UUUGUUGUUCGCUGUUCGCGGGAAUGGUUUAAGGCAAAAAGAAAAUGGGCAAUUAUAAAAAUGUGUGGGAGGAAAAUUAGGAUUAAAAAAAUUUUUUUGAAGAAUUAAAUUUUUUAAAAAAAAUAAAGCUUAUAAUAAUAAACUUUAAUCUUUUUUUAAAUUUAAAGUUUAUUAUUAUAAGCUUUAUUUUUUUAAAAAAUUUACUGUUAUUAUUAUAUUAAGCUUUAUUAUCAGUUUAUUUUAAAGCAGCUUUAUUCUAAAUCUGAUAAUAAUCAUAAGCUUUAUAAUCCUAAUUUUUCUCCAGCUGCAAUAUUUAUUUGGCUCCAGACAAUUGUCAGGAAUUGCCAUUGAUAACUUUUGUGAAAGUGCCGCUGAUAAAUUGUAAAUAAUUUAGAUAUCUUUUGCAAAGGAAAUUAAAUAUAUAAUAAGCUGUCAUUAAUUUUUAAUUUCAGAUUAUUUUCGAGAUUUUAUUCCAAAAUUAUCAAUAUAAUCAAUAUUAAUGACAGCUUAAUUACCCGCAGACUGGGUAAUUCCAGCUCUGCUAACUACCUAAAUAAAAGAUAUCUGGUUGAUCCUGCCUGAACUGAUGUGUUCAUUUCAAAGAUUAAGCCAUGCAUGUAUAAGUUUAAUCGUUUUAACGAGAAACCGCGAAAGGCUCAUUACAAUGGCCAUGAUUUACUUGAUCUUGAUUAUCUAAAUGGAUAACUGUGGAAAAGCUAGAGCUAAUACAUGCACCAAAGCUUUGUCCUCACGGAAAAGCGCAUUUAUUAGAACAAAACCACGCGGCUUCGGCUGCUUCUUGUUGACUCAGAAUAACUAAGCUGACCGCAUGGCCUUGUGCCGGCGGCGUGUCUUUCAAGCGUCCACAUUAUCAACUUGACGGGAGCAUAAUCGACUCCCGUGGUGGUGACGGAUAACGGAGGAUCAGGGUUCGACUCCGGAGAAGGGGCCUGAGAAAUGGCCACUACGUCUAAGGAUGGCAGCAGGCGCGCAAAUUACCCACUCUCGGCUCGAGGAGGUAGUGACGAAAAAUAACGAGACUGUUCUCUUUGAGGCCGGUCAUCGGAAUGGGUACAAUUUAAACCCUUUAACGAGUAUCAAGCAGAGGGCAAGUCUGGUGCCAGCAGCCGCGGUAAUUCCAGCUCUGCUAAUACAUAGAAUUAUUGCUGCGGUUAAAAAGCUGCGGUUAAAAAGCUGGUGUCUAGGUGUUGCUGAUACAGUUGUGAACGUCCGUGGCUGUAUAUGUGGUGACAUGUUAGGACUAUAAUGAGUUUAAGACUUAAUGAGCCUCUUAAGUGAGGACGCCAGCACUCUUUUUUUCUCUAUAUUUUAAAAAAAAACAAAAUUCCUAGCCUUUCCGGUGGAUCACUAGGCUCGUGGAUCGAUGAAGAACGCAGCAAACUGCGAUAAGUUUUGCGAACUGCAGCAGCCUUGAGCAUAAAAGUUUUGAACGCAUAUUGCCGCAUAGGGGUCAAACCCUUUGCUAUGUCUGGUUCAGGGUCAUUUUCUUUCAAAGCGAAGUCGAUCCUAAGGCACCGGCUAAAGCCGUCUAGACACUGCGGGGAGAUGAGAUACUUAACGGUAUAUUGUCUACUCGGUUGCCGAAAGGGAAGUGGGUUAAUAUUCCCACACCAGGCAUGGGAGAUGGUGAUCCGCAAGGAUUACUUUGCGCGGUGACGCAAACGAACUCGUAGACCUCGUGUGGAGUCCGGGCCAGAGUUCUCUUUUCUGGUUUAGAGAUCAUGUCCCUGAAAGUGGCUCAGCCUGAGAUAGGGAUGCUGGUCUCGUAAAGCGCAGCGGUUCCUGUUGUGUCCCGUGUGCUCCACAUGAGCCGUGAAAAUACGAGGGAGGCAAUUUAAAAUCUCCUGCCUGAUCGUACCCAUAUCCGCAGCAGGUCUCCAAGGUGAACAGCCUCUAGUCGAUAGAAUAAUGUAGGUAAGGGAAGUCGGCAAAUUAGAUUCGUAACUUCGGGAAAAGAAUUGGCUCUAAAGGUUGGGUCAGUCGGGCUGUUGUGUGAAACAGGUGGACUUUGCUCGUGGCUGCUUGAUCUUCCCUUCGGGGCGGCGCUUGUGGACUAGUAGUGAGGACUGCUUGUGGAGCGCUUCAGCUGCGUACUAUUUCGAAAGAUAUAGUACUUCGAUUGGCGCUGAACAACCAGUUUAGAACUGGCACGAACUCCGGGAAUCCGACUGUCUAAUUAAAACAGAGGAGACGGAUGGUCUUUGCAGGACGUUGACCGUGUCUGAUUUCUGCCCAGUGCUCUGAAUGUUAAGCCAAGGAAACUUGAUUAAGCGCGGGUAAACGGCGGGAGUAACUAUGACUCUCUUAAGGUAGCCAAAUGCCUCGUCGGCUAACUACCGACGCGCACGAAUGGAUCAACGAGAUUCCCACUGUCCCUAUCUACUAUCUAGCGAAACCACAGCCAAGGGAACGGGCUUGGCAAAUUUAGCGGGGAAAGAAGACCCUGUUGAGCUUGACUCUAGUCUGACUUUGUGAAGAAUCAUGAGAGGUGUAGCAUAAGUGGGAGUCGUAAGACAACAGUGAAAUACCACUACUUUCAUCGAUUCCUUACUUAAUCGGUAAAACGGGAGUUGUGUCUACGGACCUUCAUUUUUGUUUUAAGACUAGCCACUCGGUGGUUGGUUGACUCGCGCCGAUGACAUUGUCAGGCGGGGAGUUUGACUGGGGCGGUACAUCUGUCAAAUUGUAACGCAGGUGUCCUAAGGCGAGCUCAGAGAGGACGGAAACCUCUCGUUGAGCAAAAAGGCAAAUGCUUACUUGAUCUUGAUUUUCAGUACGAAUACAGACCGCGAAAGCGUGGCUUAUCGAUCCUUUUGAGUUUGUAAAGUUUACAGCAAGAGGUGUCAGAAAAGUUACCACAGGGAUAACUGGCUUGUGGCGGCCAAGCGUCCAUAGCGACGUCGCUUUUUGAUCCUUCGAUGUCGGCUCUUCCUAUCAUUGCGAAGCAGAAUUCGCCAAGCGUUGGAUUGUUCACCCACCAAUAGGGAACGUGAGCUGGGUUUAGACCGUCGUGAGACAGGUUAGUUUUACCCUACUAAAUACUUGUUGCUAUGAUGGUAAUCCUGCUUAGUACGAGAGGAACCGCAGGUUCAGACAUUUGGUUCAUGUGCUUGGUCGAUAGGCCAAUGGCGCGAAGCUACCAUCUGAGGGAUUAUGACUGAACGCCUCUAAGUCAGAAUCCCGCCCAGUCAUGAUAGCAAUAUAUAUCGCUCUCCGGUGUCGGAAGGCAAAAUGUAUGCCACUUUUUGUGGUAGUACAAGCCCCAGUAUCUGGCAUUUUCUUUCUACUAUAAUUGGUAGUUGGUUGCUAAAAGCUUAGCACUCCACGUGCAGGUGUAACGUCGGGGCGCAAAAUCACUUGUAUACGACUUGAAUACUGGUCAGGGGGUUGUAAACAGUAGAGCAGCUCUUCGCUGCGAUCUGCUGAGACUUAGCCCUUGAUCGGAUGAUUU